GCAACAGGAAUUGUCUUUUUGUUUUGUGGCUACUCGCCGUCCAGUAAUAGAUUUUAGGUUCAUAGGCAUUCACUGCUAUAGCUAAGACACACACACGUAGAUGCAUGCAUGAGCCUCGAAAACCAUAUUGAGAUGAUCUCUUCCCCUAACAAUUUAUUCCUUUGCCACCAAAGAAAACUAGACUUGAUUAUUUAGCAGAAGAUGUAUCCUGAUGCUAUUUUAUAUACUGUUUACUUGCAUAAUCUUUAUUUCUUCAUAGCAUGUUAAUCGUGGUACAAGUGACCAGAUUAUGAUGUUUGUGUCCAUCCAAUAUUUUGAAACACAUGUGGGCAUACUUGUAGCACGCGCAACCAUGCAUGCAGCAGUUAAAAUGUGAAUCAUUCUCUGUUUUGAUUGUUUUGGUUUGACACACACAUGCAUGGCUGGUAGAGUGGUGCUUGUAAUUGUAACUAGGGGUGGUAAUGUAUCGUGAUCCAAAUGUUUUUUUCACAAAAUGAUAAAAUGAUAGGACACUAAAUAAUUUUUAGUUCAAAAAUAAAUAGAAAUAUGGAUCGAUCGUAAUCUGAUCCAAUCCUUAAAUCUUAUAAUGUAAAAUUUAGAGCCCAUUGUCACACUAACUGCAACACGCCUAAACAACAUAGCAUACAUUUUUCGUGUACGUACAUAGCUACUUAUUUGUGUCUGGUGGUAACUAGAGAAUAACUUCAAUUUCUUUACAAGUUCAUUUCAUAUAAGCAUUUCAAAUUCAUAUCAACAAGAUCGAGCAGUGUAGCAUAUAUUGCUGAUGAACUUAUGAGGUGUUU
rnacentral:lncRNA from 7 species